rnacentral:lncRNA from 1 species
CUCCCCAGUUACAAUAUUUACAAAGGGCUGAAGUCUAUAUAAAAAAAUGAUCUUUGGCUGGGCAUGGUGGCUCAUGCCUGUAAUCCCAGCACUUUGGGAGGCUGAGGCAGGAGAAUCGCUUGAACCCGGGAGGCGGAGGUUGCGGUGAGUUGAGAUUGUGCCAUUGCACUCCAGCCUGGGUGACAAAGCGAGUCUCAAAA